rnacentral:rRNA from 1 species
AGCGAACGCUGGCGGCAGGCCUAACACAUGCAAGUCGAACGGACCCUUCGGGGUUAGUGGCGGACGGGUGAGUAACACGUGGGAACGUGCCUUUAGGUUCGGAAUAGCUCCUGGAAACGGGUGGUAAUGCCGAAUGUGCCCUUCGGGGGAUAGAUUUAUCGCCUUUAGAGCGGCCCGCGUCUGAUUAGCUAGUUGGUGGUGUAACGGACCACCAAGGCGACGAUCAGUAGCUGGUCUGAGAGGAUGAUCAGCCACAUUGGGACUGAGACACGGCCCAAACUCCUACGGGAGGCAGCAGUGGGGAAUCUUGCGCAAUGGGCGAAAGCCUGACGCAGCCAUGCCGCGUGAAUGAUGAAGGUCUUAGGAUUGUAAAAUUCUUUCACCGGGGACGAUAAUGACGGUACCCGGAGAAGAAGCCCCGGCUAACUUCGUGCCAGCCGCCGCGGUAACAC